UGGGGAAUAUUGGACAAUGGGCGAAAGCCUGAUCCAGCCAUGCCGCGUGGGUGAAGAAGGCCUUUUGGUUGUAAAGCACUUUAAGCGAGGAGGAGGCUACUAGUACUAAUACUACUGGAUAGUGGACGUUACUCGCAGAAUAAGCACCGGCUAACUCUGUGCCAGCAGCCGCGGUAAUACAGAGGGUGCGAGCGUUAAUCGGAUUUACUGGGCGUAAAGCGUGCGUAGGCGGCUAAUUGAGUCGGAUGUGAAAUCCCCGAGCUUAACUUGGGAAUUGCAUUCGAUACUGGUUAGCUAGAGUGUGGGAGAGGAUGGUAGAAUUCCAGGUGUAGCGGUGAAAUGCGUAGAGAUCUGGAGGAAUACCGAUGGCGAAGGCAGCCAUCUGGCCUAACACUGACGCUGAGGUACGAAAGCAUGGGGAGCAAACAGG
rnacentral:rRNA from 1 species